rnacentral:lncRNA from 1 species
UGGGCGCCAACGACUUCAUCAACAACUACCUCCUCCCGGUCUACUCCGACUCGUGGACCUACAACGGCGACACCUUCGUGAAGCACAUGGUGAGCACCCUGGAGGCCCAGCUGAGGCUCCUCUACGCGCUGGGCGCCCGGCGGCUCACCUUCUUCGGGCUGGGCCCCAUGGGUUGCAUCCCGCUGCAGCGCUACCUGACCUCCUCCGGCGGGUGCCAGGAGUCAACGAACAAGCUCGCCAAGAACUUCAACACGCAGGCGGGCGCGCUGGUGGCGCGGCUG